rnacentral:rRNA from 1 species
GGGUCAGUAGGUUGGUCGUGCCACCGGUACGUACUGGUCUCACUGAUUCCUCCUUCCUGAGGAACCGUAAUGCCAUUAAUUUGGUGUUGCGGGGAAACAGGACUGUUACUUUGAAAAAAUUAGAGUGUUUAAAGCAAGCUAACGCUUGAAUACAUUAGCAUGGAAUAAUGAAAUAGGACGAUCGAUCCUAUUUUGUUGGUUUCUAGGAUUGACGCA